UACAGAGGGUGCGAGCGUUGUCCGGAAUCACUGGGCGUAAAGGGCGCGUAGGCGGCUUGAUAAGCGUGCGGUGAAAGCCCGGGGCUCAACCCCGGGUCGGCCGUGCGAACUGUCGAGCUGGAGCACUGUAGAGGCAGGUGGAAUUCCGGGUGUAGCGGUGGAAUGCGUAGAGAUCCGGAAGAACACCGGUGGCGAAGGCGGAUCUCUGGGCCAUUACUGACGCUGAGGAGCGAAAGCGUGGGGAGCGAACAGG
rnacentral:rRNA from 1 species